CCUACGGGAGGCAGCAGUGAGGAAUAUUGGUCAAUGGCCGGAAGGCUGAACCAGCCAUGCCGCGUGAAGGUCAGUGCCCUAUGGGCUUUAAACUUCUUUUGUGCGGGAGCAAUAAUGGUCACUUGUGGCCAGACGAGAGUACCGUACGAAUAAGCAUCGGCUCACUCCGUGCCAGCAGCCGCGGUAAUACGGGGGAUGCAAGCGUUAUCCGGAUUUAUUGGGUUGAAAGGGUGCGUAGGCUGUGAGGUAAGUCAGCGGUGAAAUGCCCCGGCUCAACGGGGUGACGUGCCAUUGAUACUGCCUUGCUGGAAUGCGGAUGCCGUGGGAGGAAUGUGUGGUGUAGCGGUGAAAUGCAGAGAUAUUACACAGAACACCGAUUGCGAAGGCAUCUCACGAAUCCGCGAUUGACGCUGAUGCACGAAAGCGUGGGUAUCAAACAGGAUUAGAUACCCGUGUAGUC
rnacentral:rRNA from 1 species